rnacentral:rRNA from 1 species
CAGUAGCCGCGGUAAUACGAAGGGGGCUAGCGUUGUUCGGAUUUACUGGGCGUAAAGCGCACGUAGGCGGAUCGAUCAGUCAGGGGUGAAAUCCCAGAGCUCAACUCUGGAACUGCCUUUGAUACUGUCGAUCUGGAGUAUGGAAGAGGUGAGUGGAAUUCCGAGUGUAGAGGUGAAAUUCGUAGAUAUUCGGAGGAACACCAGUGGCGAAGGCGGCUCACUGGUCCAUUACUGACGCUGAGGUGCGAAUGCAUGGGGAGCAAACAGGAUUAGAGACCCCCGUAGUCCCUGUCUCUUAUAC